rnacentral:rRNA from 1 species
AUUGAACGCUGGCGGCAGGCCUAACACAUGCAAGUCGAACGGUAACAGGAAACAGCUUGCUGUUUCGCUGACGAGUGGCGGACGGGUGAGUAAUGUCUGGGAAACUGCCUGAUGGAGGGGGAUAACUACUGGAAACGGUAGCUAAUACCGCAUAACGUCGCAAGACCAAAGAGGGGGACCUUCGGGCCUCUUGCCAUCGGAUGCGCCCAGAUGGGAUUAGCUAGUAGGUGGGGUAACGGCUCACCUAGGCGACGAUCCCUAGCUGGUCUGAGAGGAUGACCGGCCACACUGGAACUGAGACACGGUCCAGACUCCUACGGGAGGCAGCAGUGGGGAAUAUUGCACAAUGGGCGCAAGCCUGAUGCAGCCAUGCCGCGUGUAUGAAGAAGGCCUUCGGGUUGUAAAGUACUUUCAGCGGGGAUGAAGGGAGUAAAGUUAAUACCUUUGCUCAUUGACGUUACCCGCAGAAGAAGCACCGGCUAACUCCGUG